rnacentral:lncRNA from 1 species
GAGACAAAUCUAUUUAGGACCGCCACUCGAUCAGUGAGGUGCUGAACUUCCUUUAUACUUCUUGAUAUUUCUAAUACAGUCUGGAUCUUCUCUGGGUUUGCUUUUAUUCUUCGACCAGACACCAUGAAGCCCAAGAAUUUUCUCGAUAUCACUCUAAAGGCACACUUGGUAGGGUUUAGCUUCAUUCUAUACUUUCUUAAUGUUGUGAAGGUCUC